rnacentral:rRNA from 1 species
GACGAACGCUGGCGGCGUGCUUAACACAUGCAAGUCGAACGGGAAGGCCCGGCGUUUGUGGUGGGCUCGAGUGUCGCACAGGUGAGUAACACGUGUGUAACCUGCCCUUGACUUUGGGAUAACUUCAGGAAACUGGGGCUAAUACCGGAUAUGAGCUCCUGCUGCAUGGUGGUGGUUGGAAAGUUUCGGCGGUUGGUGCUGGACUCGCGGGUUAUCGGCGUGUUGGUGGGGUAGGGGCUGACCAAGGCUUUGACGGGUAGCCGGCAUGAGAGGGUGAACGGCGCCCUUGGGACUGAGAGACGCAGCAGACUGCAAUGUGCGGCAGUAGUGGGGAAUCUUGCACAAUGGGCGGAAGCGAGAUGAAGAAAUUCCGGGUGCGGGAAGCUGUCCUUCGGGUUGUAAACAGCUUCCGCAUGUGAUGAUGCGUCAGUGACGGUAAUGGGUCAAGAAGCCACGGCUAACUACGUG